rnacentral:rRNA from 1 species
GAUGAACGCUGGCGGCGUGCCUAAUACAUGCAAGUCGAGCGAACAGACGAGGAGCUUGCUCCUCUGACGUUAGCGGCGGACGGGUGAUUAACACGUGUAUAACCUACCUAUAAGACUGGUAUAACUUCGGGAAACCGGACCUAAUACCGGAUAAUUUAUUGAACCGCAUGGUUCAAUAGUUAAAUACGGUUUUUCUUUCACUUAUAGAUUGAUCCGCGCCGCAUUAGCUAGUUGGUAAGUUAACGGCUUACCAAGGCAACGAUGCGUAGCCGACGUGAGAGGGUGAUCGGCCACACUGGAACUGAGACACGGUCCAGACUCCGACGGGAGGCAGCAGUAGGGAAUCUUCCGCAAUGGGCGAAAGCCUGACGGAGCAACGCCGCGUGAGUGAUGAAGGUCUUCGGAUCGUAAAACUCUGUUAUUAGGGAAGAACAAAUGUGUAAGUAACUAGGCACGUAAUGACGGUACCUAAUCAGAAAGCCACGGCUAACUACGUG